AGUGAACGCUGGCGGUAGGCCUAACACAUGCAAGUCGAACGGCAGCACAGUAAGAGCUUGCUCUUACGGGUGGCGAGUGGCGGACGGGUGAGGAAUACAUCGGAAUCUACUUUUUCGUGGGGGAUAACGUAGGGAAACUUACGCUAAUACCGCAUACGACCUACGGGUGAAAGCAGGGGAUCUUCGGACCUUGCGCGAUUGAAUGAGCCGAUGUCGGAUUAGCUAGUUGGCGGGGUAAAGGCCCACCAAGGCGACGAUCCGUAGCUGGUCUGAGAGGAUGAUCAGCCACACUGGAACGGAGACACGGUCCAGACUCCUACGGGAGGCAGCAGUGGGGUAUAGUGGACAAUGGGCGCAAGCCUGAUCCAGCCAUACCGCGUGGGUGAAGAAGGCCUUCGGGUUGUAAAGCCCUUUUGUUGGGAAAGAAAAGCAGCAGGUUAAUACCCCGCUGUUCUGACGGUACCCAAAGAAUAAGCACCGGCUAACUUCGUG
rnacentral:rRNA from 1 species